rnacentral:rRNA from 1 species
UAUGGAGAGUUUGAUCCUGGCUCAGAGCGAACGUUAGCGGCGGGCCUAACACAUGCAAGUCGAGCGAGAAAAGGGCUUCGGCCCUGAGUAAAGCGGCGGACGGGUGAGUAACACGUAGGUAAUCUUCCCUUGAGCGGGGGACAACGAGCCGAAAGGCUCGCUAAUACCGCAUAAGUUCCUUAGGUCCUCGGAUCUUUGGAGGAAAGCUAGGUAGCAAUAUCCGGCACUCGAGGAGGAGCCUGCGUAGCAUCAGCUAGUUGGUGGGGUAAUGGCCUACCAAGGCGAAGACGCUUAGCUGGUCUGAGAGGAUGAUCAGCCACACUGAAACUGAGACACGGUUCAGACUCCUACGGGAGGCAGCAGUGGGGAAUAUUGGACAAUGGGCGCAAGCCUGAUC